rfam:Daphnia pulex DAPPTscaffold_3_Cont154, whole genome shotgun sequence.
CAAACGGUUCUUAUCAGAGCCACAAAAUGUUUUAAUGAAAAGAUUG